GGACGCGGUGACGCCAUCACUCGGCCAACUUCCCCACCUGCCAAGGGCAGUGCUGCUAGGGGAUCCUGGGGCCGCCCCGCGCAGAGACUCGGCCUGCUAGGCGGGCGGAGGUCCCGGCACCGCCCUCCCGCCUCCCUUCCGGAAGGAGGCCUCGCGCCCGCCGCAGCCGCACCGCCGACCCCCUCGCUCCGCGGCGACGCGGCCUCCCUGAGGAGGGCGAAGGCCGCGGUGUCCUUGCCGCCGCCCGGGGUCCCGUCCGGGGCCCUGGGCUCCCGCGUGCCCGCUGCAACAGGAGGCGCGGAGAGAGGGGGAGGGCGGCGGCAGCGCCCGCGCUCAUUCGAGCCUCCUUACCCACUGGGUGGCGAAGCCGGCCGCACGGGCCCGAAGCGCCGCGGAGAAGAACAUGACAGGCCAAACUGCGGUCCUUCGGGCCACGCCAGAAUGAUUAAAUACGAUUAGAACUGUCAGCCAUCUACGAGAGAAUCUAAACAACCCACCUACACUUUCUCUGUCUACGAUUAAAAGACAAAGAGUUUGGAACCCUUGUGAUUACUUUGCAGAAGAAAGAUAUUAUGAGGACACAGUCUAAAACUUGACUCAGGCCAGUAUCAGGUUUUCAUCAGCUGGAAGCAGAGGAGAACAUCAGAAAGAGAAGAGGCAGGAGAAGAUUCGACACCAUUUUCUGGCCUUGAAGACAAAGAGGACAAUGCACAGAGAUUGGAGACUGGCCUCUGAGACUGAGUGACCCCUGGCCAACACCCAGCAAAGAAACAGGAACCUCAGGCCUACAACUGAGCAAGCCAGAUAAGAGUUCAGAGGUGAACUCAAGCAGAGGACCCAGCCAAGCUCGUCCAACCUUCUGAUCUGCAGAACAGUGAACUAUAACAUGGAUGCUGUUUUAAGCCCUGAGUCUGUGGGAAUUUGUUCAGCAGCAGUGGAAAACUAACCCAAUAAUUAGCAGCCUUCAAGUGAGGCUUGAUCUAACUUGAUGCAUCAGAAGCUGCCCAGCAACCUUUUAAAAAAAUUUCAUUAUAUAAAAUUAAUUUUUAAAAUAAAAAAUGUAAAACAUUGGCACCUGCUUUUGAAUCAUUUAAUUUAUGAAACCAUUUUCUUUUGUACAAUAUGCAC